AUUGAACGCUGGCGGCAUGCUUUACACAUGCAAGUCGAACGGUAACAGGCCGCAAGGUGCUGACGAGCGGCGAACGGGUGCGUAAUGCAUCGGAACGUGCCCAGUCGCGGGGGAUAACUACUCGAAAGAGUAGCUAAUACCGCAUACGAUCUAUGGAUGAAAGCGGGGGACCGCAAGGCUUCGCGCGAUUGGAGCGGUCGCUGUCAGAUUAGGUAGUUGGUGGGGUAAAGGCUCACCAAGCCAACGAUCUGUAGCUGGUCUGAGAGGACAACCAGCCACACUGGGACUGAGACACGGCCCAGACUCCUACGGGAGGCAGCAGUGGGGAAUUUUGGACAAUGGGCGCAAGCCUGAUCCAGCAAUGCCGCGUGCAGGAAGAAGGCCUUCGGGUUGUAAACUGCUUUUGUACGGAACGAAACGGCUCUGGUUAAUACCCGGGGCUAAUGACGGUACCGUAAGAAUAAGCACCGGCUAACUACGUG
rnacentral:rRNA from 1 species